CAGGUGAGAGCUCAGGACGGCCACAUUCACUAACCCUACCUCACCAAAGAAACAUCCUCCCAUUCAUUCCGAGAGUCUCCGCUACAUGGAGACUUUACAAUUGAUUCUACUCUUCAGCUCUAGGAUACUGACAUCUUGGCUAUAGUCCUUGGUUUGAAGAUGAUGUACACACAAAGGAAGACUAUAUGAGGACAUAGCAGGAAGGGAAGGCAAAUGGUCUGCAACAAAAGGAGGAAGACCUCACCAGAAAACAACCCUGAUGAUACGUGGUCUUGGACUUCCAGCCUCCAAAACUGUGAGAAAAUAAAUACAGU